UAGUCCACGCCGUAAACGAUGAGUGCUAGUUGUCGGGUUUUUAACUCGGUAACACAGCUAACGCGUUAAGCACUCCGCCUGGGAAGUACGGCCGCAAGGCUAAAACUCAAAGGAAUUGACGGGGACCCGCACAAGCGGUGGAGCAUGAGGUUUAAUUCGAUGCAACGCGAAGAACCUUACCACCCCUUAACAUCUUGGUCGGGAUUUUCAGAGAUGAUUAUCUUCGGUUCGGCCGGACCAAUGAUAGGUGUUGCAUGGCUGUCGUCAGCUCGUGUCGUGAGAUGUUGGGUUAAGUCCCGCAACGAGCGCAACCCUCAUCCUUUGUUGCCAGCGGGGUUAUGCCGGGGACUCUAGAGAAACUGCCGGUGACAAACCGGAGGAAGGUAAGGAUGACGUCAAGUCAGCAUGCCCCUUACGCUCUGGGCUACACACGUGCUACAAUGGUCGUGACAAAGAGUUGCUAGUCUGCGAAGGCAAGCCAAUCUCAUAAACGCGGCCUUAGUUCGGAUUGCAGG
rnacentral:rRNA from 1 species